CCAUCAGCUCUGACUUCUCGUAUUCCCUUCUUUAUCCUCAUCUUAUUGGAUUCUUGCCAUCAAUAUUAAAUUGUCUUAAUCCCAAUUUUUCCACCUAUUGCUGCUUUUGCUGUUGGCACUGGUUCUUACGCCCCUUGAAAGGUACUUGUGUGGCAAAAGAUUGCAAAAAAUUGGCAGUUGCUGUCAGGGUUAAUGUAGAAAAAUAAAUCUUUUAUAUUGCCAGUUUGGAUUUACUUUUCAUUUUUAAUGGCCCCAACAGAUGUUGGCGGAAUCCUCCACUUCCUGCACACUUCCAUUUUUACAGCUGGUACCGCUUGACUAGUUCUUGACUUUGGGGGAGCAGUUCCUGGGUGUUUACACAGUGAUUUACAGACACCCUCUCACUCUGACCAUCCUCCAGCUUUCUUUCCUGAUUUUCCCAGAAACUGACUGAUGUCACCAUUACCAAGUCCCUCUCCAGUUUUCAGUGUUUCCUAGCAAUUGCUUCUUUCCCCAUUGUGCCAUAUUUUGAAAUGUUUGGACUGUUAGGUAAAAAGCGUAAAGAGGAAAAGGUACAAAUAAGAUGUGAUUUUCAACUUAGCAAAUAGGGCAAUCCAUCUUUUUUUUUUGCUAGGGCUUCCAAAAUAAAGCACCACAAACUGGUAGCUUAAAACAACAACAAAUUAAUAUCUCACAGUUCUGGAUGCUAGAGGUCUGAAAUCACGGUGUCAUCAGGACCAUAGUCCCUUGGAAACCUCAAAGAGUCCUUUUUAGCCUCUUCUAGUGUCUGGUGGAUUGCUAACAGUCUUUGACUUUCCUUGACUUGCAGUGGCAUAACUCAAAUCUCUGUCUUCAUUGUCAGCUGACAUUCUCCCUGUGUUUCUUCAUAUAGUCUUCUUCUGUGUGUUUGUCUCUGUAUCAAGUUUCUCCUUUUUAAAAAGACACCAGCUACAUUGGAUCUGGACCCACCUUCAUGACCUCAUUUUAACUUGAUUACCUCUUUAAAACCCUAUUUUCAAGUAAGGUCAAAUUCUAAGGUACUGGGUGUUAGGAUAUUGAUAGAUCAUAUUUAGGAGGACCUAAUUCAACUCAUAACACUAAGAACAGAAUUCUCCCCAUCCUUGUUUCCAAAGGAAAUGUUGAGAGCUUUUAGCAAUUACAAGGAUCCUGCAAGGCUGAAAGUACCACUCAGGGCUAUGAUCUUGUCUAUGAUGUUUCUGCACUAUUCGCUUGCUCUCUUGGUUUAAGGGUUUCUGUGGAAAAGGCAGAACCAGAUAUAAGACACUGAUGAAAAAGCAUUUACUUGACUUUCAAGUUUUUACAAUAAACUUUAUAAAAUUUACAUACUGUAUAAAAUUUGGUAAACAUUCUCACUCUAGAAAAGAAAAACUAAGCUAUCCAGCAUUGUGGGGAAAAAAAAUACCAAUUAUCAGUAACUCUAGCCAUAGUCUUAUUUUCCUUCACAAAUUUUAUUACUUAGACAUCUAUCAAGGUUGCUGAGGAGACCAAAGAAGCUUAUCAACCCACAAUUUUAAUACCUUGUUCCAGUAAUUGAUUAAAUCAUUUUAAAUAUUUUUUUUCAAUUAUGCUAGGCACAGAAAAAAGAACACAUUUAAAAUAUAUAAAGCUAUUUCAAAGUGGAACUAUUGGAGUAUUUGCCUAAGAGGACUUCAAAGUUUUCUUCUGAUGACAAGUAAUUUAUGGCAUCUAUUAACUUUGUUUAUAUUCUUCUGUAAAAUUAAAGAUAAUAAAACAUUUUACUCCAACAGGUAUCUUGGCUUAUUCAGAUAAGAGUAAUGUGUCAAUACUUUUACUUGAAUAUAUCUUUAAUUAAAAUUAUGGAUAGCUAUCAAUGAAGGAAGUAUUCCUGAGGUUAGUAAUAAAAUUAAAAUAAUUCAUUGUUGAAAAAGAAUUAUAUUUGCAAAUGCUCUCUUGCUAAUAAUAACAGCUAUACCCCUAUGGCAGAUCUAAACCUUCUCUCUUGGAAAUGCUUUUUUAAAAAGUAAUUGUGCCAAACAUGAAAAGUAUACAAAAUAAUUUGUCACAUAUUCUACUUUGAGCCAAAUUCUUGCAGUUCUCAAGCAAUUUUCCAGUGUGUUCAUCCAGUAUUUUUUUUUUUUAUUUAAAAAGUUGAUUCAGGAAGCUGUGGAGAAAAAAAAUAGUUAAGCCAGUUAUCCAGACAAAACCAGUAAUUAUGUGUCUAAAUUAUUUUGCCUCCUAAUUCAUUUGCUUUGACAUCACACAGCCCUAGUCUUACUCACAUAUGGUAGCUGGUACAAGACCACUGGGGUAUUAUGCAGUAAGUUUCUAAACAAGUUACAUUGAACAAAUCUGAUGAAAUCAGGAUUCUAGGAGCAAGACUUACGAGAUUGUGUCUUAGAGUAAAUGAUGAAAUUUUUACGGCAGCAUUAAAGAAAGGAAAAGCUAUUGAUUGGAGAGGAAACUAAAAUUGACAGCCACAUGCAUGCUCUUCUGGAGUCACCUUUGGAAAGUCUUUGUAAUCCCCAUGAGACAGAAAAAAGUCAUCAUUAGUUUCCCUGGGGUAAUUCAACCUUGCAGAUGACUAUGCUUUCACUUGGAAAUAGUUUCACAGUAUGUAAGUGAAAAUACUCCACGAAUUUUAUUUUAGAAUUUUAUUUUAAAAUUUUUCAGAACAUUUAAAUGCACAGGUUUUGAUUUUUUUUUUUCUUUUCGUUGAUUUUUCAUGGAGUUGAUGGAGAUAAAAAGAUCAGCCUGGCAGCUUGCUGGCAUGGAACUGGAGUGUUUAGGGUUUGUUUUGCCUUUUUGCAAGAUUGGUCCACAAGAACUUUAAAAGGAGAAAAAGACGAUGCAAAUUAAAUACGUUAGAAACGUAUGUCCCAUCUGUUUUUAUUUCAUUUUUAGAAUAAGGUUUUCAUACCUUCUUUUAUUUUUAUAUCCUAUGAUACCACACUAUAAUGUUGGCCACCUCAGAGACAAACUAAAUUAGCUAUCCUGACCAUAUGGAAAGGAAAAGCUUUACCAGCUAAAGAAACAAAUUUAACUCAGGCAAAAAGGCCUAUGUGUUUUAGAGAUUUUUUUUUUUUUUUAAAUACUGCUAAGUGCAUAGUAGGGGAAUGUAACCCACCUGCAUAAGUAAAAUUUGAAAAAGAGUUUGGGUAUUCCAAAAUAGCUGUCUCUUUUCCUGGCGUCAUUCAGGAAUCACACAUAUUUGAAGCAUACUUCUGUUAUAUGCUAUCAUCUAGAUUUAUUUGUAAGUAAACAAAGCCAUAAAGGCCCCUUGAAAAGUCAUCCACUCCUUCCUUCUGCCUCCAAGCAGAAUUAAAUAUAACCUGCCUGGGUAUACCUUAUCCCAUUAUGAAAAAAAGCUUCAAAACACUCAGAGAGAAAAUUUUUCCCCUACUGUCUAUUCUUUGGAAAAUUAAAUAAGGCAUGCCUUUAUAGAAAAAGAUUUGAUUUCAUUCUAUAAAUGCCCAUAGUGUAAAGCAUUUGAUAGACGCCCUAGGCUACCAUUUUAUUUUACCUGGAGAGAAGCUCCUCAUAAAUUCACAAUGCAAAAUUGAUGGCUGCUUCAGAAACCUCUCAAUUUUAGGUUUUUAUAUAAACCACAGUGAAGGAAUGAAGCUCAUAGAGGUCAAGCAUGUGUUUUCUAACCACACAUAGUAGAGGAGUGUCAGCCUGAUCCAGGAAGAUUUCAUAUUGACAUGUGCAGUUAUUUACAGUGAUUGAGAACAUCAGGUUUUACGCACAACCUAUGAAGACAAGAUAAAUAGGUUGUAGAGAACCUUCAACUAAAAGAGUGUCAACUAAAGUGUUUGCUGUCACCUGACUGUAAUUCUCAGCAUGGCCAAGCUAGAUACACUGGACUUUCAGAGCACCGAAGUUAAAAUUCACUUUAUUUCAUAAAAAUAACAGCUAAACUUAUAAGUGAAGGCAUAUGUUUUGAGAGCUUUUCUGUAGACAUUGGAAUGGCUUUUUUUCUGGACAUUCCUACCAGCAGGCAUUUCUCCAAACGCACACUGAUUACUAAAAUUACCUGAAUGUAUUCAAGAUGUGUCUCAGUAUUUUUUCUGUACUAAAGGGGUGGAAUUACAGUAAUAGUUCCCUUUCUCAAAUCAUGAAGCAGUCACAGUAACCACUAGCUAGACUGAAAGAUAACUUUCUAACUCCUAGGCACCAAACUAGUAGAAUAGUUCUAAAAUGCCCCAUAGUUCUCCCAAGCUAAAGCCCUUAAUUUACACUGGAUGAAAUGGAUUUAUCAAUCAAAAGUAAUUCUGCUUUAGGAAAUGUGAAGUCUUUAGGUAUGUAUCGAUCUAGCUUUUUGGGGUUUUCCAAUUAAUACUUGUAUUAAUGUUAAGAUACUCAGACGAUAUAGAAAAAUAAACAACAGAAAAAGGGCCACAUCAGGCCCAGCAUUGGUCUAUGACAGUGGAAUAUUGUGUUAAUGUUCUAAACUACAUAAAUAAAUACUUCCUCUCUGUUGUUUCUUGGGACUUCUUAAUGCUUAUAUUCAAUUCUAAUCAUUGUUACAGUCUAGUUUAUGACCAAGCAUAAAAAAAUGGUUUCCUUAAAACAUCUAUGAUGUAAUUCACAUUAUUGAUGAAGAGAGGAAAUGGCAGAUGAAUUUCACUUAAGGUGUAUUACAACCUGAAACCACUCAGCCACCAACGCAGUGUUGAUAGAUCAUCUAAGUAUCAUCAAGUGUGAUAUUACUAAGUAGACAAAAGAAAUGGCUAUGGGUUUUUCCAAAAAAGAGGAUUGUUAAAAAUCUAAAUAGAAUGGCUGAUUAUGUUAUGUGUAUUCACUCUGUUCUAGUUAAGUGAGCUAUACAUCAAAAAAACCUUUUUUUUUUUUUUUAACUUAGAGCUUCUUUUGCAGUUAAGGAAUAAACUUUUUGCAUAGCCCAUUGAAGGGGUGAAAAAAAAGAAAGCACAACUUUUCCUGGAUUAAAAGGAGGGGGAAAAAAAUCAGUGCUUACUGAAGACAAUUGUUCAAGAAGUUCUUGUUAGUAAAUAGUAGGACUUGUCUUCUUGUAACUCAUAUUACCAGUGAAAGUAACAUAUGUGGAAGGAAUAGAUUUGGGUCCUUUGUAAUAUUUAUUUUUCUCCAUAUGUCCAAAAAAGGCUUUCAGGGAAAAAAUUUUGGAAAGAUGUUUCGUAUAGGUAUUUAUUUUUAUUCAAAAUGGCCGUGUUAGCUUUUAAUUUUUUGUGGAGUACCUAUUUCAGAACACAAGUCCACACAUAACAGCCUCACUUUUUUUCCAUACAAUAUUUCAUUAAAAAUAGCUUAAAACAUUAAUAAAUAGGAAAAACAAGAUGAAAGGGUUAACAAGGAAUUGUACAUUUUUAUAAUAGUGGAAUUUUGGCAAUUUAACUAAGAUUUAAGAUUAUUAAUGAAUGUUGAAUGAAUGUAUGUUUUACUUAAAUGUUCUUAACAAGUAGUACAGUACACGAACAAGUAGUAACAGUUUUGAACAAUUAAAUAGUAUGUAAGAUUCCCAAUUCUUGUUUUUCUUUUCCAUUUUUCACUAGAUCUUAUUUUCAAUGGGUAAAUACUGAAAGAGAAUAAUGAUUUGAUGACAGUAAUUUUUCAUUGAUAGUGUAGAUACCAACUAUUGAGUACUUACUAUGAGCCAGGUACUAGUCUCUGCUGUUGGUCCACUUAUUAAUCCAGAGAAUUCAUAAAAUAAGUUAUUUUAUUAUUGACAUUUUAUAGAUGAAGAUGAUACACAGAACUUGCCUGUGGUCAAUAGCUAGUAUACUGUCACCACAUAUGAACCAUGUAUGUUCUAGGCCAUAGGGAUAAAAAAGAAUAAAAAGCAGUAUUGAAUCUUUCCAAAAUAGAGAAAACAAACAAAAACCAUACUCGGUCUUGUCAUAAAAAGUGGGAAAAAAAUUGUUGGGUUCUUAACUUCCACUUCAUUAUUUCGCCUCUAUCUUAUGAGGUGUAAGAAUACACACACACACACACACACACAAUGAUAAAUAGAUAUUCAGAACACCUCUUAAACAGCCUCACUUAAAUGUGGACUCAAUGAUUAGCUAAUACUGAUAUCAACAUCAUGCUAAAUUCUACUUUCUGGUAUUCCUAUAACUAUUUUAUGCCUAACAGUUGAGUAGGGUGCUUUUGAAGGAAACUUUUCCUUUUUUUUUCCAAAACUAUUUACAUCAUUUCUUAUGUAUCAACAUAUAUAACUUAAUUCAAUAUUACAUGGACUGAUGACAUAAAAAUGUUCAAAGAAAAGAAGAUACUGUGUAUAUGAAAUCCAAAAGUGAAUGCUUUAGAAAGACUUGAUAAAUGAGUGGUUAAAAGAAAUUUUUUCCAAAUCAGGUAUAGGCAGGGCAACUGUGAAAAACUGAAAAAAAUUCCAAAAAGUUUCUAAACUUAGGGUUUUUUUGUGUGUGUGUAUCACUGAAUUUGCACUCUACUUCAAAGAAACUAAAAAGAAAAAGUCUAUAUGUAUAUUACGAGUUGGUGUAUGGAAGAUAGCAUGAAAUCCAAACUUUGACCCUCAUACAAAGAAAAGCUUUGACCCUAUAUAAAAUAUAUAUUUGCUUUAAAUUUAAUUAGUGGAUUUAGGUUGGCAUCAUGUAUGUAUAAAUCUAUAAUAAUUCCUCACUUAAUUUUUUAAAUUACUUAUUAAGUAUUGGUCAUAAUUGCUUCAGAUAAGAAUAUUUCUGUGAUGAUUAGAUCUAAAUUCUAUACUUAAUCUGUUCAUUUGUAAUUUAAUUUUAUGUUCAAUGUAGAGUGAGAACAAUCAGAUUUUUUACAAAAGCCUGUGUCAUUUGGAGAACAUUUUAAAAGGCUUAAUUUGAUUAUGCGAUCAAUUUACAAUGAAAUAAAGACAUCUGCAUGAGUACUUUUAAACCUCUAGUUCAUUUUAUGACAUGCCAGAGGAAGAAUUUACCUUAAAUUUUUUUUUCAAUAAAGUAGUAAUUUAAAGGGUUUCAGGCUAGGUAGUCCUUUAAAAGUAUCUAAGUAUACCAAGAUAUUUUCCUAUAUGCCUCAAUAAUUGUAGUUUUUAAAAAAGAACAUCUUGAAAUAUGUAUUCCCUGCUUUUAUUUCAAAAAAAAUUAAGCAUUACUUAUUUUUGCAAAUUGUCUUCAGUAUAUGUUUUUGAAACACAAACAUGAUUUUGUGUUUAGUACAUUUACUAAUAAGACCAGGUCUGCACCAGAUGGGCAGGUGAAAAUGUGAUUACGAGGUGUGUGAAGAUGGUUGCAUUUCUAUAAUACAUGACUCUCCAGGUUACUUGUGCGUCUGUUAUGUUUAGCUAUACACUUUCUGGUUAUCCUUAGAGGUACUUAAAGAGGUACAGCCUUGUACCACAAAAGGUCUAGAAGAGGAAACUUUCCUUCUUUGAACAUAAUCACAAUCAAUUGUCCUCCUUGUUUCAUAGCAAUCGCAUAAAUAGGAAGAUGUCAGCAUUUUUCCCUGGAAAGUUGAGAAGCUUGAUACUGAAAUAUUGGAUAAUGCAUGUAGAACAAGUCUAGAAAGAAUUUGCUCUUUUGUAGGUAGAUGCAAAUUGAGUCAUAGGUUAUACUUUGCUGCAUCAUGCCUUUGGGGAUAACACAUGAAGCAGACAAAGCCAAACCCUGUCCAGGUGGUUGAAUUCCCCACAUAUCCAUUUGGACUGAAACUUACAAAUGUCAGGUGCCUGGAGAGCUCAUUUAAUGAAAGAGUUAUCUCUGCCAACCAGUCAGUAGUUGAUAUUUUUUUUCACCAGAAGUUGUGAAAUAUUAUUUAUGUAUGUAGAAGACAGGGGCUUCCUGCCGUUGUUGUUUACUUGUGGGUUUGGGCAAGUUUCCUCCUUUCCAGAAAGCAAGUUUUCCAUAAAAGCAACUUUGCAACAGCCUCACUCCUUUUGUUUGAUACCCCAGGCAAAGAUAUUUUCAUGGCAUUGAAAUCAUUCUCAUUUAAAAACUGGAGCUCAGAUGAACCAGUUCUUUAUUGAAAAUAC
rnacentral:lncRNA from 1 species